GCCCAGGCCGGGUGCGCGGGCCCGGCGGGUGUGCGUGUGUGUGUAUGGUACGGGGGAAAAGAGCCCCCAAAUCCGCCCCCCGUCCCCCCAGGCAGGCAGACAGGCACAGCUCAGCGGUAGCGGGUUUAUUCUCCUCGGGGCAGAGCGAUUUUCGUGACAGGGGACGGGGCAGGCCCGCAGCAAGGGGCCAAGAUGGAGGGCGGCCGUCCCGGCCUCAGAUGGUGCAGUUGCUCUCUCCGAAGCGCCGGCACUUCAUCACCUUCAGUGACCAGAGCUUGAAGCCAGACCCAAGCCACGUGCAGCUGGAGCCGUUUUUGUUCACUAAACAGGGUGGUAAAAGGGCUAAAGUGUGAUCGUUGUCUGGUUUCUGUGUACUGCUUCCCAUUGCCCAAGCUUAUAUCAAACGGAGAGCGAAACCUGGAAAUGCUACAGACUGCAGUCAGGACAGAAGAUCUCUGUUUACUCUCAGUGCCUGACUUUUGUAGUUAUUUAGGUGCUAGAUGAUGAAAAUCAUUGUCCAGACUGACAUCACAUGGAUACAGGUCUUGGGGAUCUAGCUGUGGUGAUGCUGAGCAAAUCUAGGAUGGGAUCCUGGCAGACAAUAAGUAAUGUCAUUUAAAAUAACAAAGCCCAAAGUAACCUUUCUGAAGAAGAACAUUCUCCAGCUGUCAGUUGUCUGCAUGCUAUGUUAAUUUAAAUGUAAUAUAAGAGAGAAACAUCAGAGUAUAGGCUUCCAUCAGUACACAGACUUAUAUGGGUUGUUUUCAUAAAAUGUCUCGAGUCUUGGAAGUCAGGAUGCAGAACUCUGCAAAAUUUGCUUCGCUUUAAAGUGUUUUAUGGGGAGAUAGGGCAAACAUCAGGUUUAACAGCAGGUUUAACCAAUGGAGUAUUCUUUGGUGCUGGGUUUGUAAAGACUUGAGUCUAGAGUGUUGUGAUCUUCCUGGCCUGUGCUGCUAUGAGUGGUUAUGGCAGUGCUGUUAACGUCUGGUACAAGUUUUCUCAUGCUCCCAGUGAUGAAUUGUGUGCAGUGGAGUGUUGUGGUGUGACUAUGUUAAAGUAAGCAAAGUCCAAAGGAUGCCAAUGGUCUUUGGAGUGGAAAGUGGGGAGACUUCUCAUGGUCUUUGGAUCCUGUAGAAGACCCUGAGAGCUCAGUGCCCUGUGUCUAGGAGAUCUCUGUUACUCCAUAAUCGUGCUACCUGCUGCAACUUACCCUCAUCAGAGCUUGGAUCCCUUCUUCCAGGUCCUUUAGUUUUUCAAACACUCUGUCUGAGGUGCCAAAAACCAGAUUGUUUGUGAACACCUUGCUUAGGUAUUGCACUGGAGUCAACCAGGACUGGAUGAGAACCAGUGAAAACCGAAGAAGCUCCAUAUCCUGAAAUUAAAAGAGGGGGUCAAAGGUGUAAAUAGUAAAAGGGGAGAGGAGUGAUACCUCAGCAAGCACUGAAGUGCUCACAGAUGAAAUGCUCUGUUCCUUAAAAGAGUUCUGCGCUUGCCCAGGGGAGACAACUUACUGAUUUCUGCUGGGCAUCAUCCUUCCCUGUGGGAGCUGGGAUGGUUUCUGAGUAACAGAAUGCCUGGGAAUUCUUGGUGGUGUGUCUCUGGUCCUCCGGAAUAUAGCUGCGUUCCUGUGGAGACAUCCCAAAUACACUCAGAUCUGUUGGCCGUGUACUGGGAGAAGAGCGUUGACUCUUUCCUCAAGCUGUCCUGACAGGUUGCUCUUUUCAAGAAAGAAAUGUGAGACUUGAAGUGUGUUUCUGUACAGGACUGGCAGUGGGUCUUGCCUUCAUGAAUGGAAUAUGAUGCACCUGUCACUGCAUGAGCAAACGGGAUGGGUGAAAAGUGACUGCAUUAUCUGUGUUGUAACUGAAAACUUCUGCUCUCUGGCACACACCUGUAGAAUCCAGUGGUCCCUGACAAGCCUAAAGGUUAUUAACCCCUGGCAUCUAACUCGCGCAAGUGGUCUCUGUAAGUACAGAUGGACACAGAGUUAAUCUCAAACAAGCACCCUUCAGUGGAGGAAUGCCUUGGAGCCUGUAGGACAUGGACAUAGGCAUUAGACAUCAUCCUGAUCCCCAUCUUAAGCCUCGAAUCUCAAGAAUUGAACUGCAGAAGUAAUUUGCAAAGCCCUGCUUUGGGAGAGGAGAUAUCAACCCCUGUUGAAAAACAGCGUGGCAGUUCCCAGGCAGAGACAGAACAAGGUCCCUGGAGUCAGCUGGUUUGUCUGGCACAGGUUUGGUGAAGAGCUGUCACAUGUAGGUCUGUUACUGGGUACCAACCUGCCUGCUGCAAACCCAGGUGCCAGAGCUCUGGGAGGUUUCUCACAUCCUCAGCUGGGCAAAGCUGUGAGAAGAUCUGGUCAUCAGCUGCUUUCUGCUCUUGCCUGAGACAGGAAUGAGAAAUAUCUCUGCAUCGAGCAGAGGGCUGGUGUGGAGAGGAGACGGGGAAGAGGUCACAGCACACACCCUGCUUUUGAGCAAGACAAGACAGAACCUGCGAUGGACAGCUGUGGGGGGGCAGGGGGCGGGGGGUGGUGGUGCUUAAAGGACUUUUCCUUCCCCCUAGGGCACUGGGUGCCCCAAGCCACUGUGUUUGUUCGGGGCCCUGUUUGCUCCCCGGUCAGGGGCAGUGCUCUGGCUCCCCAAGCCCCUGGGUUGGCCUGCCCCCCUGCUUCGGCUCCACUUUCCACAAGGCAGCAUCAUUACUGCAGCAGAGGGUGCGAGAGCUCGUUAAUAAACACACUGGGGAGAGCGUGAUCUGUUCCGAGAAGCCCCUGGGUGUUCACUCGCAUGGUGGUGUCACGGAGUAAAUGUCAGUCCCUAGAGAAAAGGGAACAGUGGGUCCUGCAGCUAUCAGGUAUCUGGUCACCCAAUAGCCAGCAACAUCUGGGUGUGUUUUUCUACUUCAGAUUGUGUUUAAAUAUGUCAAUAUUCGUCAGAGAUGAGCAGAGCAGCAGCCCUGCCAGCCAGCACAGGCUCUGCUGCCUGCUCGCGAUGAUGCUCUACCACUGCAGCUAGAUUAAUACGGCACCUUGCACCAGACUGCUGCCCAUCACUUGCUACCCUGCUGCCCCUCCAGCUCUGUUCGCGAAAGCACGGUGCUAAACCAGCAAUUUUCACCUUAGAGCCAAGCACAGAGAUGCCAGCAUGUUCCAGGCUGUGCCCCUGAGAUCUGUUUUUUCCCCACUCACAUAAUUUCCGUGCAUUAAAUGAGGCAGAAGCUUUGUGGAAAUGGCAGUGCGUGGCUGGGAUCCUGGGCUGGGCAAACACACGCCACUGGCACAAUUACAGUUGCAUAAGCAGCUUGCAAAUAUCAGCUUGGCAUUUUUCUAGCUUCCAAGUGCCCACAUGUGUGACCCAAAGUAGAACAUCAUAAAGCAGCAUGAGGCUCAGUAAUUUCCAAGUUCCUUUUCUUGUUUGGAAGAGAAAAAACCCUGCAUUCUUUUCAGGGUGGUCCCACGUCCACCCGCCUUGCCCUGUGGACAAAUGAAGCAACUUUCCAUGGAGGUGUGUGUACGCCCUGGCUCCUCCUGGCCCCUCAGGAGGGGUUUUGUGCAGAAGUUCCCAGCUGGGGACCUGCAAACGGUGAAUCCUGACUGAGGAGCCAGAUGCUGGCCCACAGCCCAGGCUCUGUAGCUCCGUCAGUAACGAGAUCGAUGACAGAGGCUUUAAGUGAUGGUUGACUGCCUUUGCUAGCUCACUGCCCUGAAGGUAAAUAGUUCUUUUCAGUUUGAAUUGUGUGUGUGUGUGUAUUUUCUGGAGCCAGGACUGCUCAAUUUCACCCAGCCUAUUUCUAAAUGGCAGAUACCAUGAGGCUGAAGGAGGUCCAGGACUGCAGCCCAGUGGGACUUAAAAACAACUGUCUGCCCAGUCAUACUUCAAUGGUGGGGAUAAGAAUCAGGAUACAGAGCCUGGACUGUAUAUAUUGAAAUGUAUUUAAUUACACUGAGUGCAUUUUAAAUACAAGCCUAUUUCAAUAUAAAAUUAAAACCCAUCUCUGUACUCCCCAGAAACUAAUCUAAGCAAUUAAAGUAAAACCCUAGCAGUACAGAAAUACUUAUUUGCUUCUGGCGUUUUAAAGGAAGCUAAGGCCCUGGGCUAAGAGAGUAGCCAAGCGGCAGAGCGGAACUGGGGUCGCCGAAACUGCUUUUGACAUUGCUUCCUCUCCAGAUGCAAACAGCAAAUUCUCCGUCUUUCGUGUGAUUCGGUUAAGUCAGUUGAGUGAGUUGUUUACACAGAGCUGAGAAACCAGUUGGGAAUUGGGAAGGCCGGAAAAUUUGCCUUCCUCUCCCAUUUUGUAACUGAAAACAAGGCACGGAGGGAUGAGCCUUGCUAGUCCUAAAAUCCUGGCAAACAUGGAAACCAGGAAUUCACUUCCUUCACUGUGAGUACUCCUUCAGU